CGGGCUUAACACAUGCAAGUCGAGGGGCAGCAUGGUCUUAGCUUGCUAAGGCCGAUGGCGACCGGCGCACGGGUGAGUAACGCGUAUCCAACCUGCCUUACACUCUUGGACAGCCUUCUGAAAGGGAGAUUAAUACAAGAUGUUAUCAUGAGUAAGCAUUUUCGCAUGAUUAAAGGUUUACCGGUGUAAGAUGGGGAUGCGUUCCAUUAGAUAGUAGGCGGGGUAACGGCCCACCUAGUCUUCGAUGGAUAGGGGUUCUGAGAGGAAGGUCCCCCACAUUGGAACUGAGACACGGUCCAAACUCCUACGGGAGGCAGCAGUGAGGAAUAUUGGUCAAUGGACGAGAGUCUGAACCAGCCAAGUAGCGUGAAGGAUGAAGGUUCUAUGGAUUGUAAACUUCUUUUAUACGGGAAUAAACGAAUCCACGUGUGGAUUUUUGCAUGUACCGUAUGAAUAAGGAUCGGCUAACUCCGUGCCAGCAGCCGCGGUAAUACGGAGGAUCCGAGCGUUAUCCGGAUUUAUUGGGUUUAAAGGGAGCGUAGAUGGGUUGUUAAGUCAGUUGUGAAAGUUUGCGGCUCAACCGUAAAAUUGCAAUUGAUACUGGCAGUCUUGAGUACAGUUGAGGUAGGCGGAAUUCGUGGUGUAGCGGUGAAAUGCUUAGAUAUCACGAAGAACUCCGAUUGCGAAGGCAGCUUACUAACCUGUAACUGACAUUGAUGCUCGAAAGUGUGGGUAUCAAACAGGAUUAGAUACCCUGGUAGUCCACACGGUAAACGAUGAAUACUCGCUGUAGGCGAUAUACAGUCUGCGGCCAAGCGAAAGCAUUAAGUAUUCCACCUGGGGAGUACGCCGGCAACGGUGAAACUCAAAGGAAUUGACGGGGGCCCGCACAAGCGGAGGAACAUGUGGUUUAAUUCGAUGAUACGCGAGGAGCCUUACCCGGGCUUAAAUUGCAACCGAAUAUGGCGGAAACGCUAUAGCUAGCAAUAGCGGUUGUGAAGGUGCUGCAUGGUUGUCGUCAGCUCGUGCCGUGAGGUGUCGGCUUAAGUGCCAUAACGAGCGCAACCCUUGCCGAUAGUUACUAACAGGUCAUGCUGAGGACUCUGUCGGGACUGCCAUCGUAAGAUGUGAGGAAGGUGGGGAUGACGUCAAAUCAGCACGGCCCUUACGUCCGGGGCUACACACGUGUUACAAUGGGGGGUACAGAGGGCUGCUACCACGCAAGUGGAUGCCAAUCCCAAAAACCUCUCUCAGUUCGGAUUGAAGUCUGCAACCCGACUUCAUGAAGCUGGAUUCGCUAGUAAUCGCGCAUCAGCCACGGCGCGGUGAAUACGUUCCCGGGCCUUGUACACACCGCCCGUCAAGCCAUGGGAGCCGGGGGUACCUGAAGUGCGUAACCGCAAGGAGCGCCCUAGGGUAAAACUGGUGACUGGGGCUAAG
rnacentral:rRNA from 1 species